rnacentral:rRNA from 1 species
UACGUAGGGUGCGAGCGUUGUUCGGAAUUAUUGGGCGUAAAGAGCUCGUAGGCGGUUUGUCGCGUCGGCUGUGAAAACUCGGGGCUCAACCUCGAGCCUGCAGUCGAUACGGGCAAGCUUGAGUGUGGUAGGGGAGACUGGAAUUCCUGGUGUAGCGGUGAAAUGCGCAGAUAUCAGGAGGAACACCGGCGGCGAAGGCGGGUCUCUGGGCCGAUACUGACGCUGAGGAGCGAAAGCGUGGGGAGCGAACAGG